AUUGAACGCUGGCGGAAUGCUUUACACAUGCAAGUCGAACGGCAGCACGGACUUCGGUCUGGUGGCGAGUGGCGAACGGGUGAGUAAUGUAUCGGAACGUGCCCAGUCGUGGGGGAUAACGUAGUGAAAAUUACGCUAAUACCGCAUACGAUCUAUGGAUGAAAGCGGGGGAUCGCAAGACCUCGCGCGAUUGGAGCGGCCGAUAUCAGAUUAGGUAGUUGGUGGGGUAAAGGCCCACCAAGCCAACGAUCUGUAGCUGGUCUGAGAGGACGAGCAGCCACACUGGAACUGAGACACGGUCCAGACUCCUACGGGAGGCAGCAGUGGGGAAUUUUGGACAAUGGGCGAGAGCCUGAUACAGCCAUUCCGCGUGCAGGAUGAAGGCCCUCGGGUUGUAAACUGCUUUUGUACAGAACGAAAAGGUUUCUACUAAUACUAGGAGCUCAUGACGGUACUGUAAGAAUAAGCACCGGCUAACUACGUGCCAGCCGCCGCAGUAA
rnacentral:rRNA from 1 species